ACGGCUAUGGCGAAAUUGGUUUACGCACCACACUUAGGAUGUGGCGGCGCUUCGCGCCUUGUGGGUUCGAGUCCCGCUAGCCGUA
rnacentral:tRNA from 2 species